AAGUCCUGCUUUAAACCAAGUUUCAGUUCAUGUAAACAUCCUACACUCAGCUGUAAUACAUGGAUUGGCUGGGAGGUGGAUGUUUACUUCAGCUGACUUGGAAUGUCAACCAAUUAACAU
rnacentral:precursor_RNA from 1 species